UACAGAGGUCCCAAGCGUUGUUCGGAUUCAUUGGGCGUAAAGGGUGCGUAGGUGGCGCCGUAAGUCAGGUGUGAAAUUUCGGAGCUUAACUCCGAAACUGCAUUUGAUACUGCGGUGCUUGAGGACUGGAGAGGAGACUGGAAUUUACGGUGUAGCGGUGGAAUGCGUAGAUAUCGGGAAGAAUACCGGUGGCGAAGGCGUUCCGCUGGGCCGUUGCUGACGCUGAGGCGCGACAGCGUGGGGAGCAAACAGG
rnacentral:rRNA from 1 species